CGACCUCAGAUCAGGUGGGGCUCCCCGCCGAAUUUAAGCAUAUUAGUAAGCGGAGGAAAAGAAACUAACAAGGAUUCCCUUAGUAGCUGCGAGCGAACAGGGACGAGCCCAGCACUGAAUCCCGAAGGCCCAGCCUUUAGGGAGAUGUGGUGUUUUGGAGUGCCCGAUCAACCCGGGACCCGCGCUUAGAGUCCAAGUCCAUCUUGAACGGGGCCAAGGUCCGUAGAGGGUGCCAGGCCCGUAGCUGACCUGCGCCGGGACCCGGGUGGGUUCCUCCUUAGAGUCGGGCUGCUUGAGAGUGCAGCCCUAAGCGGGUGGUAAACUCCAUCUAAGGCUAAAUGCAACCACGAGACCGAUAGAGAACAAGUACCGUGAGGGAAAGUUGAAAAGAACUUUGAAGAGAGAGUUCAAGAGUACGUGAAACCGCUCAGGGGUAAAUGGAAAAGACCCGAAACACCGAAAAGGGAGAUUCACGUCUUCUCGCCGGUGCCGGUCCCCGUUCGGGGGAUGGCUUCACGCCCCGUCCGGUUCGUCCGUGGCGGCGGGUGGGCUGCCUCCUUCGGGGACCCCGGUACCGCGGGGGACCGCACUUCUCCCCCAGUAGGACGUCGCGACCCGCUUCGCGGCGGUCUAACGGCCGGAAGAAAGCCUGGCAGGGAGCGCGCCACUCGUGGUGCGCCUCCAGCUCAGAUCUCCGGACCCGCGGCCGUCGGUCAGGGCGGUAGAAACGACAGCGAUGGGCCGCUCCUUGAGAGCGCCUCGGUCCCCCUGCAAGCCGGGGUCGGGAAGUCGGGACAGUGCCUCACGGUACGCCCGGCCCCCUUCCCCGACUGUUGGCAGGCGGGCACUCGAGCCGUUGCCCGGUACGCUCGUCGGCGGCGCUUCAGAUUCGGUCACUUAUCCAACCCGUCUUGAAACACGGACCAAGGAGUCUAGCGUGCGCGCGAGUCAUUGGGUGAAAAACCUAAAGGCGCAAUGAAAGUGUCAGGGCGCGCUCAGCGCGUCCGGCGGGAGGAUGGGAUCCCCGACCCCCGGGUCGGCUCCCCGCACUCCCGGGGCGUCUCGUUCCAAUUCUUUGGUUGAGACGCACCAGGAGCGCACACGCUGGGACCCGAAAGAUGGUGAACUAUGCCUGGCCAGGACGAAGCCAGGGGAAACCCUGGUGGAGGUCCGAAGCGAUUCUGACGUGCAAAUCGAUCGUCUGAGCUGGGUAUAGGGGCGAAAGACCAAUCGAACCAUCUAGUAGCUGGUUCCCUCUGAAGUUUCCCUCAGGAUAGCUGGCUCUCGAGAAGAGACGAGUCUCAUCCGGUAGAGCGAAUGAUUAGAGGUGAUGGGGUCGAAACGACUUCAACCUAUUCUCAAACUCCCAAUAGAUGAGAGCCCCGGCUUGCUUGAAAGUGAAGCCGCGGGAUUCGGAUCGGAGAGGCCAAGUGGGCCAAUUUUGGUAAGCAGAACUGGCGCUGUGGGAUGAACCAAACGCGGAGUUAAGGCGCCCGAUUCGACGCUCAUAUGAAACCAUGAAAGGCGUUGGUUGCUUAAAACAGCAGGACGGUGGUCAUGGAAGUCGAAAUCCGCUAAGGAGUGUGUAACAACUCACCUGCCGAAGCAACUAGCCCUGAAAAUGGAUGGCGCUGUAGCGUCGUGCCUAUACUCCGCCGUCAGCGGCAGAGCCGGCGGCCCCGCGAGGGGAGUAGCCGUUAAGCCCUGACGAGUAAGAGGGUCGCGGUGGUGAGCGCGGAAGGGUCUGGGCGCGAGCCCGCCUGGAGCCGCCACCGGUGCAGAUCUUGGUGGUAGUAGCAAAUACUCCAGCGAGGCCCUGGAGGACUGAUGUGGAGAAGGGUUUCUUGUGAACAGCUGUUGCACAAGAGUCAGUCGAUCCUAAGCCCUAGGAGAAAUCCGAAGCGAUGGUCUGCCGUUAACUCUUUUAACAUGUGUGCGCGUGCGCGAGAGAAAGCCUCGUCGUCGCCGGUGUGAGUGGCGUGGGGGGGGNAGACGUGCGCGGGUUGCGACGGUGCGCAGGGCGCCCCCCCGUUUGAGCGUCCGCCGGAGCGGCGAGCCCCUUUCUCUCUCUCCGCACGCGACUCAGUCAUGAGCCGGCACCGUCUGGGCGAAAGGGAAUCUGGUUCCUAUUCCAGAACCCGGCCGCGGAACCGCUCCAAUUCGGGCCCUCAUCCGAGGACUCGUCGGGGUGACCCAAAAUGACCCGGAGAAGCCGUAGGGAGGUCCGGGGAGAGUUGUCUCUUCUCUAUAAGCGUUCGAGUUCCCUGGAAGCCUCUAGGAGGGAGAUAGGGUUUGGAACGCGAAGAGCACCGCACUUACGGCGGUGUCCGGAUCUUCCCCUCGGACCUUGAAAAUCCGGGCGAGGGCCACGAGGAACACCGCGCCGGCUCGUACCCAUAUCCGCAGCAGGUCUCCAAGGUGAAUAGCCUCUAGUCGGUAGAAUAAUGUAGGUAAGGGAAGUCGGCAAACCCGAUCUGUAACUUCGGGACAAGGAUUGGCUCUGAGGAUCGUGGCGUGCCGGGCUUGGUCGGGAAGUGGAGCGGUGCCAACGUGCCGGGCCUGGGCGAGGAUAAGAGCGCUCGUCGCUUGGACCCUAGCUCGGUCCCGUGCCUUGGCCACCCACGGAUCUUCCUUGCUGCGAGCUACCGGGUGUCCGGUCGCCGGUCUCCCGGUGGACGGCCCGGAUUGCUCUUCGGCCGCCAUAGAACGAUCAGCUUAGAACUGGCACGGACCAAGGGAAUCCGACUGUCUAAUUAAAACAAAGCAUCGAGAUGGCCCCAACGGGUGAUGACUCGAUGUGAUUUCUGCCCAGUGCUCUGAAUGUCAACGUGAAGAAAUUCAAGCAAGCGCGGGUUAACGGCGGGAGUAACUAUGACUCUCUUAAGGUAGCCAAAUGCCUCGUCAUCCAAUUAGUGACGCGCAUGAAUGGAUUAACGAGAUUCCCUCUGUCCCUACCUACUAUCUAGCGAAACCACUGUCAAGGGAACGGGCUUGAAAAAAUCAGCGGGGAAAGAAGACCCUUUUGAGCUUGACUCUAGUCUGGUACUGUAAGGAGACAUGAGAGGUGUAGCAUAAGUGGGAGGCGGUUUUGCCGUCGAUAGUGAAAUACCACUACUUUCAUAGUUUCCUUACUUACUUGGUGAGGCGGAAGGCGUCCGUCGGAGUGUCUGCACUCCGGCGAGACGGUAUUCUCGCACCAAGCGCCAAGGGUUGCCGGCGGCCGGUCGGACGUGGUGAGGCCCGCCGCGGCCGCUUCCGGGCGGUCCCGCGGCGUGCGUCGUCGCUGCGGUUUCGGUCGCGCUGUCCGGCAACACACUCCCUAGCGUGAUCCGAUCCAAGGAAAUUAUCAGGAGGGGAGUUCGGCUGGGGCGGUACAUCUGUCAAAUAAUAACGCAGGUGUCCUACGGUCAGCUCAGCGAGGACAGAAACCUCGCGUAGAGCAAAAGGGCAAAUGCUGGCUUGAUCCCGAUGCUCAGUGCGCAUAGGGACUGCGAAAGCACGGCCUAUCGAUCCUUUUGGCUUGAAGAGUUUUCAGCAAGAGGUGUCAGAAAAGUUACCAUAGGGAUAACUGGCUUGUGGCGGCCAAGCGUUCAUAGCGACGUCGUCGUUUGAUCCUUCGAUGUCGGCUCUUCCUAUCAUUGCGAAGCAGAAUUCGCCAAGCGUCGGAUUGUUCACCCGCUAAUAGGGAACGUGAGCUGGGUUUAGACCGUCGUGAGACAGGUUAGUUUUACCCUACUGAUGUUAAAAAAGUCGUUGCCAUAGUAAUCCUGCUUAGUACGAGAGGAACCGCAGGUUCGGACAAUUGGUACGCGCACUCGGUUGACCCGCCGCUGGUGCGACGCUACCAUCCGAGGGAUUAGGCCUGAACGCCUCUAAGACCGAAUCCCGACUAGAAGCAACGAUAUAACUACGGGUCCCGUGAGUCGAAAGGCUCAACUCUAUGUGACUCUAUUAGGUCGGUUAGCGAUAACCGUCCGCAUGAGCCCUGUGGCCCGGUCGCCCUCGCGCGGAAGACCGCCGGUACAUUCCGGUCGGCUCUCCCCGGUGACCGGGCGUAACAUGGUUCAACCCCCUCUUAACGGGGGGGAGAUCGAUGUCGGGACCCUGAAUCGUCUGUAGACGACUUCUUCUUCGGGCAGGGUGCUGUACUCGGGAGAGCAGUUGUCACGCUG
rnacentral:rRNA from 1 species